UACGGGAGGCAGCAGUGGGGAAUAUUGCACAAUGGGCGCAAGCCUGAUGCAGCCAUGCCGCGUGUAUGAAAAAGGCCUUCGGGUUGUAAAGUACUUUCAGUCGUGAGGAAGGUGUUAAGGUUAAUAACCUUAGCAAUUGACGUUAGCGACAGAAGAAGCACCGGCUAACUCCGUGCCAGCAGCCGCGGUAAUACGGAGGGUGCGAGCGUUAAUCGGAAUUACUGGGCGUAAAGGGCACGCAGGCGGUUAAUUAAGUUGGAUGUGAAAUCCCCGGGCUUAACCUGGGAAUGGCAUUCAAGCUGGUUAGCUAGAGUCUUGUAGAGGGGGUAGAAUUCCAUGUGUAGCGGUGAAAUGCGUAGAGAUGUGGAGGAAUCCGGUGGCGAAGGCGGCCCCUGGGACAAAGACUGACGCUCAUGUGCGAAAGCGUGGGGAGCAAACAGGGAUUAGAUACC
rnacentral:rRNA from 1 species